UACGGAGGGUGCAAGCGUUGUCCGGAUUUAUUGGGUUUAAAGGGUGCGUAGGCGGCUAAUUAAGUCAGCGGUGAAAUUCCAGAGCUCAACUCUGCGAACUGCCAUUGAUACUGGUUAGCUUGAGUACAGAUGAGGUAGGCGGAAUUGACAGUGUAGCGGUGAAAUGCUUAGAUAUUGUCAAGAACACCUAUUGCGAAGGCAGCUUACUAAACUGUAACUGACGCUGAGGCACGAAAGCGUGGGGAUCAAACAGG
rnacentral:rRNA from 1 species